rnacentral:tRNA from 1 species
ACUUAAAUAGUUUAUUUAAAACAUUGACUUGUGAUGUCAAAAAAGAAUUACAUUCUUUAGGUA